rnacentral:rRNA from 1 species
AGAGUUUGAUCAUGGCUCAGAAUGAACGCUGGCGGCGUGGAUUAGGCAUGCAAGUCGAACGAUAAAGCGAACUUAUUCGCGAUUAAAGUGGCGAACGGGUGAGUAACGCGUGGGAAACCUGCCUUCGAGUGGGGGAUAACAUUCCUAACGGAAUGCUAAUACCGCAUAACAUCACAGAUCGCAUGAUCUGUGAUCAAAGAUAGCCUCUACAUGUAAGCUGUCGCUUGAAGAUGGUCCCGCGUCCCAUUAGCUUGUUGGUAGGGUAAUGGCCUACCAAGGCAUCGAUGGGUAGCCGGCCUGAGAGGGUGACCGGCCACACUGGGACUGAGACACGGCCCAGACUCCUACGGGAGGCAGCAGUCGAGAGGCUUCGGCAAUGGGGGAAACCCUGACCGAGCGACGCCGCGUGGACGAUGAAGUUUUUCGGAAUGUAAAGUCCUGUCAUACGGGAUGAAAAGCCGAUUGGUUAAUAACCUUUUGGUCUGACAGUACCGUAAGAGGAAGCUCCGGCUAACUCCGUGCCAGCAGCCGCGGUAAUACGGGGGGAGCGAGCGUUAUUCGGAAUCAUUGGGCGUAAAGAGUUCGUAGGCGGUCAGAAUAGUCAGAGGUGAAAUCUAACGGCUUAACCGUUAAAUUGCCUUUGAAACUCUCUGACUUGAGUACGUGAGAGGAAAGCGGAAUUCUUGGUGUAGCGGUGAAAUGCGUGGAUAUCAAGAGGAACACCUGUGGCGAAAGCGGCUUUCUGGCACGAUACUGACGCUGAGGAACGAAAGCCAGGGGAGCAAACGGGAUUAGAUACCCCGGUAGUCCUGGGCCGUAAACGAUGGGCACUAGGUGUAGGAGGUAUCGACCCCUUCUGUGCCGCAGUUAACGCAUUAAGUGCCCCGCCUGGGGAGUACGAUCGCAAGAUUGAAACUCAAAUGAAUUGACGG